AUGAUCUGGAUGCAUCGYUGCUCCUCAAGCUUUAAGUUCUUCUGCUGCAGAAAGUCCAAAGUGUGUUUGAGCUCCGACACUGAAACCUGCAUCAGGAUGACGUCUCCASUAGCUCUGAUGGUUGUGUUGGGUUUUCUCACUCAGGCAUCAUCUGCCAAUAAUUUUCUGACUCAGUCUGAACCAUCAAAGUCAGUCAGUGUUGGAGCGACUGUGACCAUCAGCGCCACAGGAAGUUCAAAUAUUGGUCCUGAUCUCAGUUGGUACCUGCAGAAACCUGGACAGCCUCCUAAACUUCUGAUAUACAGAGUUUCAAGUUUGUUCUCAGGAACUCCAUCUAGAUUCAGCGGCAGUAGAUCUGUUGACGUGGACGGCCAUUGUUUGGCAGGACAGGCUGAUGUUGGCAUCCCUGCUUGGAUCAGCGCGCAGCCAGAGACGUCAGUAGACGUCGAUUGACUGCAGAGUUAAGAAGUCAUGCAAACAGGUCACAGAAAUAGACCGACAACUGGGAGAACAAAGACAAGCUGCGGUUGCGGCAUUUGGACGUCACUCUCGAUCCUACUUUAUAAUAACAGAGAUGUAGAAAAAUACGCAUUUCUUCAUUUUCUGUAGGUCAAUUCCAGAUAUAUGUAAUCAUUCAUUAAAUAUCGACGUGUAUUAUUGAUAUAAAUGUAAUUUCUGAAGCUUAAAAAUAUUAGUAAGUCACGCUAAUGUAAGUGAAACGUUGGGUUUUCUUGAAGAUAUCAAAGGCAUCAUAGAGUUGGGCUCUGGUUUCAUGAAUGGGAAGGCUUGGAGGUGGGUACCAGUAAUCUGCAAUGGGCUAUGAAUGGGGGCACUAAUUGGUGCUGU